GAAAAAGCUGGCACUAAGACUUGGUCAUAUAAAAGAGUCUUAUUACGAUCAUUUACAAAGAAAACAUCAAGAAGACUGUUAAGAGAAUUGGAGAAAUGUGUAGCAUAACGACGCCACCACUUCAACAUAAUCAGAAUAGUCAACUGUUCGAUUCGGUCGGUUAACACACCCGAGAAGCAUAUUGGAAGCGCUUCGACUCCCGUUGACUUGUAAAAAUAGUUUUGUAUUAAUGUAUAUAGCGACACCCCCGGCAUGCCCCUCACGAUCGGAUCUGUACAUAUCGUACCCAUCACAUGCUACCAUUGCAUCAUUGAUUUGAGGAGAAAACCACGUUUCAGAAACACACAAAACAUCUAUGUUGGACUUAACAAACAAAUACCUGAACUCUUCAAUCUUUUUGCAUAAACUUUGCCCAUUUAUAUGGCAGAUAUGUAACCCAUUAUUUUGUUUGGUGAGAACCCUCAAAAUUGAUCGACUAUUCGAUUGGGAUGCCUCUAUAUCAGAAACGUUGAAUAGAAUCUAUAAACACACGCAAUUUAAGAACAAUUAUGUUGUACCAAUAAAAAUAAAUAACUAUUACGACUUCUCUUACACAAGUA